rnacentral:rRNA from 1 species
GCGAACGCUGGCGGCAGGCUUAACACAUGCAAGUCGAACGCACCUUUCGGGGUGAGUGGCAGACGGGUGAGUAACGCGUGGGAAUCUACCCUUCUCUACGGGAUAGCUCCGGGAAACUGGAAUUAAUACCGUAUACGUCCUGAGGGAGAAAGAUUUAUCGGGGAAGGAUGAGCCCGCGUUGGAUUAGCUAGUUGGUGGGGUAAAGGCCUACCAAGGCGACGAUCCAUAGCUGGUCUAAGAGGAUGAUCAGCCACAUUGGGACUGAGACACGGCCCAAACUCCUACGGGAGGCAGCAGUGGGGAAUAUUGGACAAUGGGCGCAAGCCUGAUCCAGCCAUGCCGCGUGAGUGAUGAAGGCCCUAGGGUUGUAAAGCUCUUUCAGUGGGGACGAUAAUGACGGUACCCACAGAAGAAGCCCCGGCUAACUUCGUG